rnacentral:rRNA from 1 species
GAUGAACGCUGGCGGCGUGCCUAAUACAUGCAAGUCGAGCGAACAGAUAAGGAGCUUGCUCCUUUGACGUUAGCGGCGGACGGGUGAGUAACACGUGGAUAACCUACCUAUAAGACUGGGAUAACUUCGGGAAACCGGAGCUAAUACCGGAUAACAUAUUGAACCGCAUGGUUCAAUAGUGAAAGGCGGCUUUGCUGUCACUUAUAGAUGGAUCCGCGCCGUAUUAGCUAGUUUGUAAGGUAACGGCUUACCAAGGCAACGAUACGUAGCCGACCUGAGAGGGUGAUCGGCCACACUGGAACUGAGACACGGUCCAGACUCCUACGGGAGGCAGCAGUAGGGAAUCUUCCGCAAUGGGCGAAAGCCUGACGGAGCAACGCCGCGUGAGUGAUGAAGGUCUUCGGAUCGUAAAACUCUGUUAUCAGGGAAGAACAAAUGUGUAAGUAACUGUGCACAUCUUGACGGUACCUGAUCAGAAAGCCACGGCUAACUACGUGCCAGCCGCCGCCGUAA